rnacentral:lncRNA from 1 species
AUACGGAUCUAUUUUGAUAUGAAAUUAUUAAGAUUCAGUUGAAAAUGUCAGUUGCUAUGGCUUUAUGAUAUAAAAAUAUGAAUUUGGAGCAAAGGUCAAAAUCUAGAACGUCAAAUUAACCUAUGACCUUGACCUCAAUUUCAAGGUCAUAAACAUAGGAUCCCAAAUCAAAAGACCCUAGGUCUGUAUUAUGUAUGGUUCAUGAGUAAUAUCACUUUACGCAUAAUUCUAAAUAUAAGAGGGGCAAAAACUCCCAUUUUUUGUCUACGCACCCUUCCAAUCAAAAUUUAUAAGUUACGACAUGUCGCAACUAACAAUUUAGUAAAAAUAAUUUGUCGAAAUCUUAUAAAGUUAAUGAAAAUAAGUGAAAAUAAGCCAAAAUCAAAAUUUAGAAUUUGACCUUGAC